rnacentral:rRNA from 1 species
AUUGAACGCUGGCGGCAGGCCUAACACAUGCAAGUCGAGCGAGCGGCGGACGGGUGAGUAAUGUCUGGGAAACUGCCUGAUGGAGGGGGCUAACUACUGGAAACGGUAGCUAAUACCGCAUACCAUCAGAUGUGCCCAGAUGGGAUUAGCUAGUAGGUGGGGUAAUGGCUCACCUAGGCGACGAUCCCUAGCUGGUCUGAGAGGAUGAACAGCCACACUGGAACGGAGACACGGUCCAGACUCCUACGGGAGGCAGCAGUGGGGAAUAUUGCACAAUGGGCGCAAGCCUGAUGCAGCCAUGCCGCGUGUGUGAAGAAGGCCUUCGGGUUGUAAAGCACUUUCAGCGGGGAGGCGUUACUCACAGAAGAAGCACCGGCUAACUCCGUGCCAGCCGCCGCGGUAAUAC